GGGCCCGCACAAGCGGUGGAGCAUGUGGUUUAAUUCGAUGAUACGCGAGGAACCUUACCAGGGCUUAAAUGUAGAGCGACAGAGGUGGAAACACCUCCUUCUUCGGACGGUCUACAAGGUGCUGCAUGGUUGUCGUCAGCUCGUGCUGUGAAGUGUCGGGUUAAGUCCCAUAACGAGCGCAACCCCUAUUUCUAGUUGCCAGCGGUUCGGCCGGGGACUCUAGAGAAACUGCCAGCGUAAGCUGUGAGGAAGGUGGGGAUGACGUCAAAUCAUCACGGCCUUACGUCCUGGGCCACACACGUGCUACAAUGGUGGAGACAGAGGGACGCUACCAGGUGACUGGAUGCAAAUCUCAAAAGCUGUCUCAGUUCGGAUUGUUGUCUGCAACUCGACAACAUG
rnacentral:rRNA from 1 species